UUCGAAUUUCGGGACCAUCAUGUUGGUCGUGCCUCGGUACGUACUGGCAUUGUUGGUUUCUCCCUUCUGACGAACCAUGAUGUCAUUUAUUUGGUGUUGUGGGGAAUCAGGACUGUUACUUUGAAAAAUUAGAGUAGNNUUAAAGCAGGUCUCACGCUUGAACACAUUAGCAUGGAAUAAUGAAAUAGGACGUUUGAUUCUAUUUUGUUGGUUUCUAGGAUCGACGUAAUGAUUAAUAGGGAUAGUUGGGGGCAUUAGUAUUCAAUUGUCAGACGUGAAAUUCUUGGAUUUAUUGAAGACUAACUACUGCGAAAGCAUUUGCCAAGGAUGUUUUCAUUAAUCAAGAACGAAAGUUAGGGGAUCGAAGACGAUCAGAUACCGUCGUAGUCUUAACCAUAAACUAUGCCGACUAGGGAUCGGAUGAUGUUAAUUUUUAAUGACUC
rnacentral:rRNA from 1 species